AGAUGGUGCUAAACAUCCUACAGUGCACAGGACAGCCUCCUCAGCAAGGAGUUGUGUGACACCUCCCCAUAUCCACCAGGGGCCUCAACUUAUCAUCCACUGCCUCAUUGUGUGUGGAUGUGAAACCCAGGUCCUGGCUAGC